GCAAAUAGAGGCGUCCACCUGUAUUGGUGGAAAUUAUUAUUUUUUACUUCCCUCAGCAGUUAUCUUUCUUCCUCUUUCAUGCUCGAGGAUGAGCAUUGUCUAAUCAUGGGGGGAGGAGUCAUCGCAUUAUCUCUUACGACUGCUGAGAAAAGUACUAUGUUGCAAGAAGUUCUGAGGAGCUAAAAGAGAAAAAAAAUGUGAAAAAAUAAAGAAAGAAAGAAAAAAUAAAAAGGAAUGAAAAAAUAAAUAAAUAAAGGAGACAAAUAAUAAAGUGCUCCUCAGUUCUUUGAGCUUCAUUAAAAAAGUUCCCAGUGCUUUGAAGAUUAAGGAUUGAUCCAUACUCAUUUUCCAACCAUGUGCAAUCCGAUAAUAAGUACUUCAUUUGUGCCUCGGGAUCAUUCAUUUGCCACUUGUGCAUGUCCACCUAUCUAAAUGCGUGUGUUCCAUCUCUC
rnacentral:lncRNA from 1 species